rnacentral:rRNA from 1 species
GACGAACGCUGGCGGCGUGCCUAAUACAUGCAAGUCGAACGCACGAAGUUGAAGAGCUUGCUCUUUAACCAAGUGAGUGGCGGACGGGUGAGUAACACGUGGGUAACCUACCCAUUAGAGGGGGAUAACAUUCGGAAACGGAUGCUAAUACCGCAUAGUUUCAGGAAUCGCAUGAUUCGUGAAGGAAAGGUGGCUUCGUCUACCACUAAUGGAUGGACCCGCGGCGUAUUAGCUAGUUGGUGAGGUAAUGGCUCACCAAGGCAAUGAUACGUAGCCGACCUGAGAGGGUGAUCGGCCACACUGGGACUGAGACACGGCCCAGACUCCUACGGGAGGCAGCAGUAGGGAAUCUUCCGCAAUGGACGAAAGUCUGACGGAGCAACGCCGCGUGAGUGAAGAAGGUUUUCGGAUCGUAAAACUCUGUUGUUAAAGAAGAACAAGGAUGAGAGUAACUGCUCAUCCCCUGACGGUAUUUAACCAGAAAGCCACGGCUAACUACGUGCCAGCAGCCGCGGUAAUACGUAGGUGGCAAGCGUUGUCCGGAUUUAUUGGGCGUAAAGCGAGCGCAGGCGGUUCUUUAAGUCUGAUGUGAAAGCCCCCGGCUCAACCGGGGAGGGUCAUUGGAAACUGGAGAACUUGAGUGCAGAAGAGGAGAGUGGAAUUCCACGUGUAGCGGUGAAAUGCGUAGAUAUGUGGAGGAACACCAGUGGCGAAGGCGACUCUCUGGUCUGUAACUGACGCUGAGGCUCGAAAGCGUGGGGAGCAAACAGG